ensembl:lncRNA
CGUCGGAGUUCUAGGAUCCGCUCGAAUAAGUUCAGUAGAAUCUGCCGGGGCAAGAAACCGGCAGACAGGAUGAUUUCCGUGCGCUGUUUCCAGUUCAGUGUGUGGACGACCAGGCUGGAUUAAAUGGCGUGGUUAUUUAUGAGAACCACAUUUUCCCCAUUUCAAAUCCCAGAUCUCAAAUCCCACGUCCAGUUCAGUGUGUGGACGACCCGCUGCCUGAAAACGCCGUGGAGGUUUACGGAAACGAGGAAUUCCCGCUGAGAAAUCAGCUACCGCUUCCAGUUCAGUGUGUCGACGACCCGCUGCCUGAAAACGCCGUGGAGGUUUACGGAAACGAGGAAUUCCAGAAGAGAAAUCUGCUACCACUUCCAGUUCAGUGUGUGGACGACCCGGUGCCUGAAAACGCCGUGGAGGUUUACGGAAACGAGGAAUUCCCGCUGAGAAAUCAGCUACCGCUUCCAGUUCAGUGUGUGGACGACCCGCUGCCUGAAAACGCCGUGGAGGUUUACGGAAACGAGGAAUUCCAGAAGAGAAAUCCGCUACCUGUAAGAUUCCUUUUGUAAUGGCUGCUCCUUUAAAACAAAAUGGGGCUGUUAAUUGAUUUGCGCUCCAGUCACGUGCCUCCUAUUGCAUUCUGGGUACUGACCAGUGACCUGUUUGGGAAAGGAAACUACUACUGCCACUGCUACUAGUACCACUAUUACUAUUGCUACUACUGCUGCUACUACUGCUAUUGCUACUACUGCUACUACUACUGCUACUACUGCUACCACUAUUACUACUGCUACUACUACUGCUACUACUACUACUGCUGCUACUACUACUGCUACUACUACUGCUACUACUGCUACUACUACUGCUACUACUACUACUACUACUACUACUGCUACUACUACUAUUACUGCUACUACUGCUACUGCUACUACUACUACUACUACUGCUACUACUGCUACUACUACUACUGCUAAAACUACUACUACUGCUGCUGCUGCUACUAUUACUACUACUACUACUACUACUGCUACUACUGCUACUACUACUGCUACUACUACUAUUACUGCUACUACUACUACUACUGCUGCUGCUGCUACUACUACUGCUACUACUACUACUACUGCUACUACUACUACUACUACUACUACUACUGCUGCUGCUGCUGCUGCUACUACUACUGCUACUACUACUGCUACUACUACUGCUACUACUACUACUACUACUACUACUACUACUGCUGCUGCUGCUGCUACUACUGCUGCUACUACUACUACUACUACUACUACUACUACUACUACUACUGCUACUACUACUACUGCUGCUGCUAAAACUACUACUACUGCUACUACUACUAUUACUACUACUACUCUACUACUGCUACUACUACUACUACUACUACUACUGCUGCUAAAACUACUACUACUGCUGCUACUACUAAUUCUGUUGAUUCAGGGGUCCAGGGUGUCAAAAACCCAACGAUACACAGAACAUCAGGAGCCCUUCAGCUCUGCUCUAACUGAAAAGGAAGCGGUGAUCAUACUACUUUUUUUCACUAAUUCCAUUGGUUUAUAAUAUCCUUGUUUUAUAGAUUUUAUUCAUUAAUAACACAAAACAAUUAAGGUAACAUUAAAGCGCACAAAUGUUGUUUUAACCUCACAGGAAUUUUAACGUAGGUCUUUCUCCCCCAUGUUUUGUAGCUUCCAGUUCCGUGUGUCGACGACCCGCUGGGUUUAAAUGCUGUUGUAGCUACCGAAGAUCAGACUUUCUCCAUGCCAUAUCAGCCACCUGAGAAUGUCCUCAUUGUCUUACCCAUUGUGAAUACACAUGUUUAUAUAGUUAGUACGAUCAUAUUAGUCGUAAUAUACUUAUCAUGAACGAUUUUUGUUUUGUUUUACGAUUUAAUACAAUAAAUGUCUGUAAUAAAACUGUGUGUAAUGUGUUGUUUGUGGUAAGCUAAGCCAUUAGCUAAUUAGCGACUCUGACUAUCUACCCACAUCUUUCUCCAACUCUUUACAGAAUUCAAGCUCCGUUUUAGACUUCGUGUCACCUUGGUGUUGUAAGAGCUGCUACAGCCUAUAGGAAAAUGUGUAAGGAGCAUUUUCAUAAUGGAGGUGGUGUUCACUUUAGAAUAGCUCACUUUGUCCGUUGAGAUCCGGGGCUCCAGAUGGCCACUAAAAUGGUCGCCAAUGCGACUAACUUUUUAAUUUUGCGGCCAUGUUUUUUCUGCCAGUCGCCAGUGGCCACCGUUACCCACAAACAAAACUUAAAAACAAAUAGAAAUGACCAUACGUCGUGGUGUGCUCGGCUACUGAACUCUCAUCUCCUGUUGCGCCUGCGUCUACCCGCCCUAUCACGUGCACACCCGCCCUAUCACGUGCACACCCGCCCUAUCACGUGCACACCUGCAUGGUUUCCAAUAGAUAAACUCCGCACUCUUGUCCUGCAGUGGUUGAAGCGUCAGCUGUACAGAGGAACAGAAACAGGUUUAACGUCACGUUUAUCGGGUUAAAAAGUUCGGAAGUGUUAACUCUGUUAAAGGUGUUUGAUUCGGUUCGAUCUGGUUUAGUCCGUUGGAAUGUGAAUGUAUCGAGUUAUAUGUAGGCUAGCUAACUGCGCAGUUAACUAACAUUAGCCAGCUGAGAAGAAAAAAACGAAAUGCGCAAACAAAAAAUAUCAGUAAACAAAGGCAGACAGUACAGAAGGGAAAGAAAAGGCAGUGUGAGGUAGCCGUCUACCAAUGACUACGUUUACAUGGACGGCAGUAAUCUAAUUAUUGACCUUACUCUGAGUAAGAUAAUACUGUGAUUGAGGUGUUUACAUGCGUCGCUUUUAGAAUACUCCCGUCAUGUUCCCGUUUUACAUGCUUUAGAACAUAAU